rnacentral:rRNA from 1 species
UUGGGAAUCUUGCGCAAUGGACGAAAGUCUGACGCAGCAAUGUCGCGUGCGGGAUGACGCGCCUAGGCGUGUAAACCGCUUUUAUAAAGGAAUACAUUUCUGAAGGUACUUUAUGAAUAAGCACCGGCUAACCUCGUGCCAGCAGCCGCGGUAAUACGAGGGGUGCAAACGUUGUCCGGAAUUACUGGGCGUAAAGAGCACGUAGGUGGCUCAAUAAGUUUCUUAUGAAAGACCAAGGCUCAACCUUGGAACUGUAGGAAAUACUGUUGAGCUUGAGUCUGGCAGGGGCUGGCAGAACACUCGGUGUAGGGGUGACAUCCGUUGAUAUCGAGUGGAAUACCAAAGGCGAAGGCAGCUAGCUAGGCCAGUACUGACACUGAGGUGCGAAAGCGUGGGUAGC